rfam:Trichinella pseudospiralis scaffold31s, whole genome shotgun sequence.
CCAACGGCCCUCCUGAGGGCCACAACUUUACAAAUUCUAAUGUUG